GUUUUUUUGUAGGCCCUGGCACUGAUUGAGUUGUUUAAUGCUCCAGAAGGACGUUACAAACAGGAUGUGUAUCUCCUUCCAAAGAAAAUGGACGAGUAUGUGGCCAGUUUGCACCUACCCAACUUUGAUGCCCACCUGACAGAGCUGACUGACGAGCAGGCCAAAUACAUGGGCCUCAACAAGAAUGGCCCUUUCAAACCUAAUUAUUACCGGUAUUAAUGAGAAUGCCCGAUCCUCAACGCACAGUUACCCUGCAACAAACAGAGAUAUCUAUUUUAUUUUCUAAAUAGCUACAGAAUGGAGGAAUUAUUUUACUUAUGCUGAAUGUAACUUAUUAAAAGCACCUCAGAAGUAGAGUUAAAUGAUAAAAAAAGGACGAGUAAAGUCACGUAGAAAACAUAUAACCAACUAACAUUUUACACGUCUUGUCAGGUGUUUAAACAAAAGCCUACUUGCAUGCUAUGAUGUAUGUGCACGUAUGUAGUUGCUUCAGAUUAUGUUACUAGAUCACAGAGUUGCUGAUUUGUUUACCCCAUUUACGCACAGUGCCAAAUGAUGGCCGUAAGAAUGAAACAGAGGAUACCUUUUCGAUUUUGUCCACCGUGACAUUAAGAUUUGCCGGGUACAUUCCUUGAGCCAGAGUUUAGGCUGAGCCAAAACAAACUCUGUGUUACAACUUAGAUUAUUUUAGAAAUGUUUGUUUUUAUAUAUACGUCAAAUAAUCCGUUUCAAUGGUAUCUGCAUACAUGCCCUAAAAGGUAACAUCCAGUCAUCCUUUUUAUUACAGCAGUGAUGAUGAUGAACUGUUGCCUGUUACAUAAACAAAAGGAUGAAGUCUUGUUUAUUCACGUCUUGUGAUCAAGUAAUGUCGUUUUGCUAAUGACAGAUUAAGAUGUUGUUUUAUGUCUGGGUGUGGAGCAGCUGAUGUCUUUCCUAAAAAGGAAGUUGGAGAAGACUUACAGAGAGCUGGUAAAACACUUUUUGACUGCUUUAUCUUCCCUCGUUUCAUCCCAAGUUUCCAUUUGCUCACUUGAAUUCCAGACGCCUCACUGAAGAGUUUUUCUGACUGGAUAGUACCUUUGAGGCCAUGAUAUGAAUGUGCCUUUUAAAUGAUUUAUAACAACAUAAUACUAGCGCUGAGCUUAAUUAUAUGAACCAUUCCUUUUUGUAAAACUGCAUUUAUUAGAAGUACAUUAACUGUCUUCCUUCCACUGCUUCUGGUUGUACGUAUAACUAUAAUGUAUGAGCUGUGUGUUGGCAAAAUAUAUAUAUAUAUAUUAGACUUUAUGUCAGGCAUAUGAUUGUAGUCGUCUUAAUUUGAUCCAACAAGAUCACUUUAAUAUUUCAUGUGAUCGAAAUGACAUAAGUGUAUACUAUCUAUGUAAACGAUUGCAUUAAAUCAGCAAUAAAGCGAGUCUUUUUACCAUGA